GGAUUAGAUACCCUGGUAGUCCACGCCGUAAACGAUGAGAACUAGCCGUUGGAUCUUAGAUUCAGUGGUACAGCUAACGCAUUAAGUUCUCCGCCUGGGGAGUACGGCCGCAAGGCUAAAACUCAAAUGAAUUGACGGGGGCCCGCACAAGCGGUGGAGCAUGUGGUUUAAUUCGAUGCAACGCGAAAAACCUUACCAACCCUUGACAUCUAGUGAAAUUUCUAGAGAUAGAUUUGUGCCUUCGGGAACACUAUGACAGGUGUUGCAUGGCUGUCGUCAGCUCGUGCCG
rnacentral:rRNA from 1 species